GACGAACGCUGGCGGCGUGCUUAACACAUGCAAGUCGAACGAUGAAAGAGGAGCUUGCUCCUCUGGAUUAGUGGCGAACGGGUGAGUAACACGUGAGCAAUCUGCCCCUGACUCCGGAAUAACUACGGGAAACUGUAGCUAAUACCGGAUAUGCGCCGAACAGGCAUCUGUAUCGGUGGGAAAGAAUUUCGGUCAGGGAUGAGCUCGCGGCCUAUCAGCUUGUUGGUGAGGUAACGGCUCACCAAGGCGACGACGGGUAGCCGGCCUGAGAGGGUGACCGGCCAAAUGGGGAGUAGGAACAGGCCAAAACCCCGAGGGGAGGAAGAGGGGGGAAAAUUUAAAAAAGGGGGAAAAGCCUGAUGAAGCAAACCCGGGGGGGGGAGGAGGGCCUUGGGGUUGUAAACCUUUUUUAGGAGGAAAGAAGGGAAAGGGGCGGUACCGGCAAAAAAAGCGCCGGCUAAAUACGU
rnacentral:rRNA from 1 species